rnacentral:misc_RNA from 1 species
GAAAUGCGAUAAGUAGUGUGAAUUGCAGAAUUCAGUGAAUCAUCGAAUCUUUGAACGCACAUUGCGCCCUUUGGUAUUCCUUAGGGCAUGCCUGUUCGAGCGUCAUUUACACCCUCAAGCUCUGCUUGGUGUUGGGCGUCUGUCCCGCCUCCGGGCGCGGACUCGCCUUGAAAUCAUUGGCGGCCGGUACAUUGGCUUCGAGCGCAGCAGAAACGCGAACUCGAGGCCGGUGGAUCAGCUCCCAGAAGCUAACCCCCAUAUUUUGACCUCGGAUCAGGUAGGGAUACCCGCUGAACUUAA